rnacentral:rRNA from 1 species
CUCUGAGACGCUGCGGCGUGCUUAACACAUGCAAGUCGAACGAUGAUCUCCAGCUUGCUGGGGGGAUUAGUGGCGAACGGGUGAGUAACACGUGAGUAACCUGCCCUUGACUCUGGGAUAAGCCUGGGAAACUGGGUCUAAUACCGGAUACGACCAUUCCGCGCAUGCGGUGGUGGUGGAAAGCUUUUGCGGUUUUGGAUGGACUCGCGGCCUAUCAGCUUGUUGGUGGGGUAAUGGCCUACCAAGGCGACGACGGGUAGCCGGCCUGAGAGGGUGACCGGCCACACUGGGACUGAGACACGGCCCAGACUCCUACGGGAGGCAGCAGUGGGGAAUAUUGCACAAUGGGCGGAAGCCUGAUGCAGCGACGCCGCGUGAGGGAUGACGGCCUUCGGGUUGUAAACCUCUUUCAGUAGGGAAGAAGCGAAAGUGACGGUACCUGCAGAAGAAGCGCCGGCUAACUACGUGCCAGCAGCCGCGGUAAUACGUAGGGCGCAAGCGUUAUCCGGAAUUAUUGGGCGUAAAGAGCUCGUAGGCGGUUUGUCGCGUCUGCUGUGAAAGACCGGGGCUCAACUCCGGUUCUGCAGUGGGUACGGGCAGACUAGAGUGAUGUAGGGGAGACUGGAAUUCCUGGUGUAGCGGUGAAAUGCGCAGAUAUCAGGAGGAACACCGAUGGCGAAGGCAGGUCUCUGGGCAUUAACUGACGCUGAGGAGCGAAAGCAUGGGGAGCGAACAGGAUUAGAUACCCUGGUAGUCCAUGCCGUAAACGUUGGGCACUAGGUGGGGGGGACAUUCCACGUUUUCCGCGCCGUAGCUAACGCAUUAAGUGCCCCGCCUGGAGA